ensembl:lncRNA
GACUGAGUGUGCUGGGCUUUCAGAGGAGAGAGGAAUCAGAUUUGGCCGGCACUGUUCCAAACAGGCUUUAUGAGCUGGAGCUUGAGAGGUGGGUAGACCUUGGAAGAUGGGUCCUCCCAGCAUGGGGGAAAUGGCACAGCAGACUGUGGAGGUUGGAAGAAGGGAGAAGAAAGGACUUUCCGAAUUGCGUUGGAAACUUUUUUAAUGAUCUCCUUAGCAGGGGCGAACUCAUCCUUACAGAUGCCUGCGGUCAGCGACGACUCAACUCUCUCGGAGGCUCCCUCGAGCGGGAGGAGCGAGCUUACGGCCUACUCGCGGCUCCCUCCCCUGCUUGUCGCUCUGGACCUCCACGUGGCCGGUUCGCGCAGCCCUCUGCCUUCUCGCCCCUCCAUUCUAGCGUUUCGCGCCGCCCCCCACGCCCCGGCCGGACCUGAAUGGGCUCUGCCCACUCGGGAGAGGCAUUCACCUCACCCAGCCCGGCAGGCGUCCUUCCCACACAUGUGCUUACCCAGCCAACGCUCACCAAAUCCCUCAGUCAGGAGCCACUUUCACUGUGUCGACUCCAGCCUUCUACCUGAUGGAUAAAAUCUUUCCACAGUAUCCCAGGCCAAUGUUCUGAAGCUGUUUGCAUACCCACAGUGACGAGGACACUCUUUUACGAGGCAGCCACAACUCUUUAGGAUGUCCCUGUGUCCAAGUCCAAUCGCCUAGAGGAUACCUGCCCUCACAUGGCCCAGGAGGGACGGAACUCACCCUCAGGUCCCUCACACCAGCUCCUCCUCCUUGCCUGCAGUAACCUUCCUACUGCCCAAACUCACCAUGAAGGAGGAUUAAUUCUUAACUCUUGGGCCUUCCCUGAUGGACCUGGUUACGAAUCUGUCUUGCAAUCCAAGGGAUGCCAGUUCGAUCCCUGGUCUGGAAAGAUCCCACAUGCAAUGGAGCAACAAAGUCUGUGUACCACAACUGCUGACCCCACACUUAAGAGCCCUUGAGCCACAACUACUAAAGCCCGUGCACCCAGAGCCCAUGUGCUCUAUAGCAAGAGAAGCCACUGCAAUGAGAAACCCGUGCACUGCAACUAGAGAGCAGCCCCCACUGGCUGCAUCUCGAGAAAGCCUGUGUUCAGCAAUGAAGACCCAGUGCAGGCAAAAAUAAAAAUCUAAAAAAAAAUUAACUUAAAAAUUUCUUAACUGUUUUCUCUCCUUCACCAUCUAUUACCAAAUUCUUCCCACUCCUGCUUUUAUUACAAGGUGUAUUGUUACUUUCCUCACGCCUUCCUUUCCAAUACCAUAGAUUCCACCUUUGGCCCAAAUUCCCACAGUCACUGCCACACUGUCCU